CCUACGGGUGGCAGCAGUGGGGAAUAUUGCACAAUGGGGGAAACCCUGAUGCAGCGACGCCGCGUGUGUGAAGAAGUAAUUCGUUAUGUAAAGCUCUAUCAGCAGGGAAGAAAAUGACGGUACCUGAGUAAUAAGCCCCUGCUAACUCCGUGCCAGCAGCCGCGGUAAUACGUAGGGGGCAAGCGUUAUCCGGCUUUACUGGGUGAAAAGGGAGCGUAGACGGCAGUGCAAGUCUGGAGGGAAAGGCGGGGGCUCAACCCCGGGACUGCUCUGGAAACUGUAAGGCUGGAGUGUAGGAGAGGGAAGUAGAAGUCCUGGGGUAGCGGUGAAAUGCGUAGAGAUUAGGAGGAAUACCAGUGGCGAAGGCGGCUUACUGGACUGUAACUGACGUUGAGGUGCGAAAGCGUGGGGAGCAAACAGGAUUAGAUACCCGGGUAGUC
rnacentral:rRNA from 1 species